rnacentral:Y_RNA from 1 species
GGCUGGUCCAAAGGUAGUGAGUUAUCUCACUUGAUUGUUCAUAAUCAGUUAUAGAUUAAACUCCUAGGUCUACUACUGUCCCCCCUUCUCAUUACUGCACUUGAUUAGUCUUAC